CCUACGGGAGGCAGCAGUGGGGAAUCUUAGACAAUGGGCGCAAGCCUGAUCUACCCAUGCCGCGUGUGUGAUGAAGGUCUUAGGAUCGUAAAGCACUUUCGCCAGGGAUGAUAAUGACAGUACCUGGUAAAGAAACCCCGGCUAACUCCGUGCCAGCAGCCGCGGUAAUACGGAGGGGGUUAGCGUUGUUCGGAAUUACUGGGCGUAAAGCGUACGUAGGCGGAUCAGAAAGUUGGGGGUGAAAUCCCGGGGCUCAACCCCGGAACUGCCUCCAAAACUCCUGGUCUUGAGUUCGAGAGAGGUGAGUGGAAUUCCAAGUGUAGAGGUGAAAUUCGUAGAUAUUUGGAGGAACACCAGUGGCGAAGGCGGCUCACUGGCUCGAUACUGACGCUGAGGUACGAAAGUGUGGGGAGCAAACAGGAUUAGAUACCCUGGUAGUCCACACCGUAAACGAUGAAUGCCAGUCGUCGGGCAGUAUACUGUUCGGUGACACACCUAACGGAUUAAGCAUUCCGCCUGGGGAGUACGGUCGCAAGAUUAAAACUCAAAGGAAUUGACGA
rnacentral:rRNA from 1 species